GGGGGUGUGGCUCAGUGGCAAAGCACCUGCUUAGCAUGCAGGAGGUUCCAGGUUCAAUCCCCGGCAUCUUCA